CAGUCGCGUUUGCUGGGACUCAACCUUGCUUUUGCCUGGUGUACUUCUCAGUAAAUGGGCCAGCAUCAAUUUCGGGCGCCGGAAAAGGAUUUGAGGAAUGUGACAGCUUGCUGUGUUAUAGCCUCUUGUCGUACAGGGUGCUGGGGACAGAGGACCGCAGCGCGCCUUCUUGGCAUUGGCUUCGGCCUUUUCCGCGCUAAGGAUUCUGGCUUAAUGGCUUUAAGCGACCCGUCUUGAAACACGGACCAAGGAGUCUAGCAUAUAUGCGAGUGUUU
rnacentral:rRNA from 1 species